UGGUAUUUGGGGGAGAGGAGAGAGGGAUAGAGAGAAGUAGAAAAGAGGGAAGAGGUCAGGUAGGUCACAUGGAGGGAGAGAAAAGGAGAGGGAUAGAGAGAAGUAGAAAAGAGGGAAGAGGUCAGGUAGGUCACAUGGAGGGAGAGAAAAGGAGAGGGAUAGAGAGAAGUAGAAAAGAGGGAAGAGGUCAGGUAGGUCACAUGGAGGGAGAGAAAAGGAGAGGGAUAGAGAGAAGUAGAAAAGAGGGAAGAGGUCAGGUAGGUCACAUGGAGGGAGAGAAAAGGAGAGGGAUAGAAAGAAGUAGAAAAGAGGGAAGAGGUCAGGUAGGUCACAUGGAGGGAGAGAAAAGGAGAGGGAUAGAGAGAAGUAGAAAAGAGGUCAGGUAGGUCACAUGGAGGGAGAGAAAAGGCGAGGGAUAGAGAGAAGUAGAAAAGAGGGAAGAGGUCAGGUAGGUCACAUGGAGGGAGAGAAAAGGCGAGGGAUAGAGAGAAGUAGAAAAGAGGGAAGAGGUCAGGUAGGUCACAUGGAGGGAGAGAAAAGGAGAGGGAUAGAGAGAAGUAGAAAAGAGGGAAGAGGUCAGGUAGGUCACAUGGAGGGAGAGAAAAGGAGAGGGAUAGAGAGAAGUAGAAAAGAGGGAAGAGGUCAGGUAGGUCACAUGGAGGGAGAGAAGGAGAGGGAUAGAGAGAAGUAGAAAAGAGGGAAGAGGUCAGGUAGGUCACAUGGAGGGAGAGAAAAGGAGAGGGAUAGAGAGAAGUAGAAAAGAGGGAAGAGGUCAGGUAGGUCACAUGGAGGGAGAGAAGGAGAGGGAUAGAGAGAAGUAGAAAAGAGGGAAGAGGUCAGGUAGGUCACAUGGAGGGAGAGAAAAGGAGAGGGAUAGAGAGAAGUAGAAAAGAGGGAAGAGGUCAGGUAGGUCACAUAGAGGGAGAGAAAAGGAGAGGGAUAGAGAGAAAUAGAAAAGAGGGAAGAGGUCAGGGAGGUCACAUGGAGGGAGAGAAAAGGAGAGGGAUAGAGAGAAAUAGAAAAGAGGGAAGAGGUCAGGGAGGUCACAUGGAGGGAGA